GAGAGUAAACAGUGCGUGAAACCGCUCAGAGGUAAACGGGUGGAGUUGAACUGCGAUCCUUGGGAAUUCAGCUGAUGAGCAUGAUUUGUGCUUGGGCAUAUUGGCCGCCUUUCAGUGUCUGUCUAAUUACAGGUGCCUGCCUAUAGGUAGGUAUGUGUGGUGCGCUUAUCAUGUGCUGCACGCAUUGGAGGGUGUAUGGGUCUGCUUGUCAGUGCACUUUCUCAGGGUGUUCACCACGACCGGCACUGCUGUCUGUCUGCUGUAGUCAAACUGAUCAGGCCUGAUUAACGUUGGGCUUGGUUGGGUUGGUAGUUGAAUUUCUGGCCGACUAUAGUGGAUCUGUACGGUGUGUCGGAGACUGCGGCUAUAUAUAUGUGCUCUGUCCUUCAGGCGGGGUUGAGUCUGGUCGACUUGUUGCUGGUUUCGGCCGGUCAGUUGAUGGCUUGAUCCUGUUCAGCUGGCAGUUGCUUGUGUUUUAAUUUUGGCCAACAGUCUGUGGUGUUGUGGUAGACUAUCCACCUG
rnacentral:rRNA from 1 species